UUGAAUCCUUGGAUACGUAUACUGAUAUAUUAAUAAUUAGCAUAUUAUAUACUUACUAUUUCAAAUUUUAAUAAUUAAAGCUAGUAAAUUCGAAACAAUGUUCCUCAUAAGUUUUUUGUACAGCAAUUAAAAAGCAUCGAAGAAACUUAGACACGAAAAAAAUUUGAUAUUUAAACGAAAAAUAGCACAUGACUUUGAAACAAAACAUCCAUACGAAUUAAAUAUAAAACAUAAUUCGGAUCCCGGACGCGCUUAUACACUCGAAGGCCAAACAAUUUUUAGUUCAAUGAUUGUUAUACAUGACGUCACGGGAGUGGUAGCGGAUUGAAUCAGUUGGUAUAAAAACCUCCCCGAUGAAAAUUUUUUAUAUCUAAUAUACGAGAUAAUUUGACGCAUAUACAUAUCGG